ACAGAGCCCGUGAAUCCGGGCGUUCGGAAUUCAGGACCGACGGCGGGCCGGUCUCGGCCGGCUUCGUCGUCGAUUCGAUAUUUCCGUCGCCGACCCUCAACCGAGGGUGUCGGACGUCGCGACCCGUUCGCCAGAUCGAUGCUCAGGGGCGCGUCUCAAGUUCGUAUGCGCGGCCGUUUCGGCGGUCGCGCGGCGAUGACGCGUUUCCACUGUUUUCGACGCGGACGGUAGCUUUGCGCGCGGGUAAUCGAGGCGGUCCUUCGUCCGGCGUCUCGUACGUCGGACGGCGCUCGCCUCGACGCCGGUCAGCGACGAAUCUUCGGGCCUCUUUCCGACCCGUCUUGAAACACGGACCAAGGAGUCUAGCGUGCGCGCGAGUCGCGGGGUAUCCGAGGAGUAGUAGUCGUUUCGGCGGCGAACGCUCCUCGUCACGAUACGAAACCCGUGUACGUACGUUGUGCGAAGGCGUAAUGAAAGUGAAAGGCGGCGCUUCGCGCGUCGCCGGGGGAAGACGGUCGACCGUGUACCGUUUCGCGACCGCGUAUGUGUCGCGACCGGUCACCCGCAUUCCCAGGGCGUCCCGCUCGUACGUCGGCGGCCGGGGUUCGCUUCGACCGUCGACGAACUGGGGCGCACCUACAGCGUGCACGCUGGUACCCGAAAGAUGGUGAACUAUGCCUGGCCAGGAU
rnacentral:rRNA from 1 species